ensembl:lncRNA
GCAAUGAUUGCAUCCAGCUGCUUCUGAUCACAGCAUGAGCAUAAAAAGGCAGCAGGUGCAACAAACACCAGUUUUUCACUUGGGAGCCGAAUGAUCGUUUUGCUCCUCACUACUCUACUGAGAGAAGAAGACUGAACGAAUUCAGCGCACUACACACUGGUCCAGCUUGUACGGUGUCUGGGUGCCUGGCUACCCAAACUUCUUGCUGGUUGCUGCAGACCAUCAGACUCAUCUAUGCAAUUAAGUUCGCCAGGCAUCCCCCCAAGUUCAGCAGCAUCUGCUUCAUAUCAGUGAAGGCGGCUGAUGCUCCUGUCUUGCGUGCGGAGAUCGCACUCUUACUGGCAAAGGAUGCAAUAGAGCCGGUCCCUCCAGCUGAUAGGAAGACAAGGUUUUACAGCCCAUACUUCACUGUACCCAAGAAAGGCGCUGGGUUACGACCGAUCUUGGACCUUGAUCUUGAAAUUUGUGUCAGUAUAUCAUAAAUAGAAAGCAGCAGCAGUUUACUGUUGGGAAUUUGUCAGCCGUGCACGCCGCAUCCAGUGUAGACAGCAUGAUAGGUUCUAUUGUACACCAGUGUAGACACGGUGUUAGAGAGAAGAAUAUGUUCAGCCCCCUCCCCCCGAAGCAUCGCAUAUUAGAUUAGAUAGAUUAGAUUCAACUUUAUUGUCACUGCACAUGUAAGGUACAAGGCAACGAAAUGCAGUUAGCAUCUAACCAGAAGUGCAAUAAGCAGUAAGUACAGAAUAUACAAGGUCUACAAUAUGUACAAUAACUAUACAGAUAAGUAUUAUGGACAUAAUUUACAGAUUUUAAAUACUAUCAGCAUUAUAUACAGAUAGGUGUACUAUGAACAUACUAUACAGAUGGAUUAUGUAAAAGUGUAUGUACACUAUAAGCAGAAACUAUGAACAUAUGAACAUCAUUUACACUAGUGCAAUGGACAGUAAAGUGCAUAGAAAAUAUUUCAGUGUACAAAUGGAUUAUUCAGUGUUUCUGGAGCACUUCAUAAUGAUGGGUGUGAGUGCUACAGGGCGGUAGUCAUUUAAGCACAUCGGGGAGG